GCCUGAUGGCUCAGUGGUUGAGCAUCUGCCUUUGGCCCAGGGUGCGAUCUCAGAGUCGCAGGAUCGAAUCCUGCAUCGGGCU
rnacentral:tRNA from 1 species